UAUUAAUUUCAUAAACAGCGGACAUAGAUUUCAUAUCUAUUCAAUAACUUAGGAGAAAACCCCACAUUGGUAAAAUAUUCUCUCAGAAGGACAUCUGGAAAAGGUAAUCAAAAUUCCAAUUUGACCGCUGACUAAGCAGUUCCGAGAUUUAUGACCUCUGUUUGGACAUUUAAGGAGAAGGGACAGGGCAAUCUGGGAAGAUUGUAAUCGACUUCCCACACUGCGCAUACUCUGUGUUCUGUGUGUAGCUGAACAGGCUGGGUAAGAACUUUUUACUCUGUAUUUAUGUUCUAAAAAUUCCGUAUUUUUUAAUUGACUGUGAAUUUUAAGCUAAUGACCUACCUGCCUGUUAAUAAAUUAUUCUUAUUUUUAACUUGCGUGGUCUUCAUGACUCUAAUCCAUUUUAUAUUCUUUUCAGCCGAAAUUCUGACUAAAUACUCAGGGGGACAAUUCUGAUCAGGGGUCUAGUACAGCGAAAGUCUUUAGUGAGGUCUUCAAGUUACAUUGGCGACCACGAUCUGCCCGCUAACGGGAUUGGUGUUGUAUUGGUUCUGGAGUUUUUGGCUUAAGAGGACCCUUGGGCGUUAUACGUUGGUUCUUGUCAAAUUCACCUUAAGGAGCCCGAUAAAUGCGCACUGACCUGGGCUCAUAACUGUCUAUGCAAAAAUGAACGCAUGUAUUAUGGUGGUCAGCCUUCUACCCUCUGUAGGCUUCACCGAACUGAGAUCUAGCAAUAGAGCAUAUAUUGAAGAAUGGUGGCACAAGACAGUCGAGCGUAACCACCCCAAGCUCCACGUAUAGUUAAAACCAAAUUUUAAAUUCAUUUCAUUUGGAGUCAGAUAAUUGCGAGAGUAAUCCAUGGUAACUGUUACGCUCACUUGCUGUGGUCAUGGAUAUAUUUGAUGCAUUGUUCUGCUCCUUUGUGAAUAUUCUGAUGCUCCCAUUGGAAUAUUGACAGUCCGGUGACAAGUCAGAUAUAUCUCUGAUGACAACAUAGCCCUGUUUGCGAACGGAGAGUAACAAGAAUGUUGCUGGUCCGUUUCAGGCCAGUCUUAAGCGGGAUAUGGAGCAGCGCAUUCAUAUCUGACCCGUGGCGACGGAUCCAGUGCAUUCUUAAGCAUAAUUGUGCCCUGCUAUUACAAACAGAGGAAAAAUAAAUAACAUCUGUGAUUUUUACUCACACCAGCCAAGGGAAAACACGCUGUGCCUUCCCCUCCAGCUACAAACCCCCAUUGGUCUAGCGGUGAGGUGUUUACAUACAACAUUCCAACUGGUGGCUGGGGGGGCGAAAUCUACAAUCAGAUGAGGAAACAACUUGAUGAACUUCAGAAAAAGAAUGAGAGUUUCACAUUUAAUAUAUCAGGAUAUAGUGUGCCAGCUAGGCUCAUGAUCCACUAUCCAUGUGCAUGUGGAAGAGUCUUUGUUGAAACUCUGAAGAAGGUACUGGAGAAUGUAAAACCUAAGGACGGUAACAUGCAAAAUGGAACAAUUGCAGGGCUGAUGGCCAAUCUCAAUAAGUCCAAUAUGUCCAUGAUGCAAGAAAAACAUCAAAGCAAGGGGGGAAGUUGCAAGCAGGACCAUAAAAAACCUCUUAUUUUUUUCUUUGCACAUAACACAAGAUUCAUCCAGUCGUGGAAUCAAAAAUGCUAAAAGCCUUGAAUGCUGUUAAAUGUAAAUUGAGAUUUCUGAAUGGAAUGUGCUGCCUUUUUAGAAUAACUAAUUUAUUUAUUACAAUUUUGUACUAUUUAUUUCUUUAAAUUAUUAUAUUAGUUACAUUUAUUUGCAUACAAUUUAGACUGUAUUUAUUUUGAAUUAAAUAGCCAAAUUGGUCAAAUGUCUCUUUUGUCUUGUUUUAGCACUAUAAUGUAUCAUUCAUCAUUUGUUAGAUCUACGAGCAAUGUCUAAAUAUUUAACAAUAAACAGAAUAUUACAAAUAUUGCAGAA